rnacentral:rRNA from 1 species
GACGAACGCUGGCGGCGUGCUUAACACAUGCAAGUCGAACGGAAAGGCCCCUUCGGGGGUCCUCGAGUGGCGAACGGGUGAGUAACACGUGAGUAACCUGCCCUUGACUUCGGGAUAACUUCAGGAAACUGGGGCUAAUACCGGAUAGGAAUCCUUGCUGCAUGGUGGGGGUUGGAAAGCUUCGGCGGUUUUGGAUGGACUCGCGGCUUAUCAGCUUGUUGGUGGGGUAGUGGCUUACCAAGGCUUUGACGGGUAGCCGGCCUGAGAGGGCGACCGGCCACAUUGGGACUGAGAUACGGCCCAGACUCCGACGGGAGGCAGCAGGGGGGAAUAUUGCACAAUGGGCGGAAGCCUGAUGCAGCAACGCCGCGUGCGGGAUGACGGCCUUCGGGUUGUAAACCGCUUUCAGCAGGGGCGAAGCUUGUGGUGACGGUACCUGCAGAAGAAGCACCGGCUAACUACGUG